rnacentral:ncRNA from 1 species
CCUUUUAAAUCAUGUGUAGGAACGAGCUAUGAUGCAAGCAAUGUUUUUCUUUAGUGCUGGAGCAGUUUUUGGUUAUUGCUAUCGUCAUUACGAUGCUAAAGUUAAAAAAGCCAAUGAUUCAAAAUAAAUGAUUAAAAAAGCCUGCUUCUUGAGUAGGCUUUUUU